rnacentral:rRNA from 1 species
AGGACGAACGCUGGCGGCGUGCUUAACACAUGCAAGUCGAGCGGAAAGGCCCUUCGGGGUACUCGAGCGGCGAACGGGUGAGUAACACGUGAGCAACCUGCCCUUAGCUUCGGGAUAGCUCCGGGAAACCGGAAUUAAUACCGAAUAUGACUUUGGCUGACAUCACGCAGAAGUGGAAAGUUUUUCGGCUAGGGAUGGACUCGCGGCCCAUCAGCUAGUUGGUGAGGUAACGGCCCACCAAGGCGACGACGGGUA